rnacentral:piRNA from 1 species
UAAUAUUGUCCACUGCGUCCAGUAGACUGC